AUUGAACGCUGGCGGCAUGCCUUACACAUGCAAGUCGAACGGCAACACGGGGGCUGGCGCCUGCUGGCGAGUGGCGGACGGGUGAUUAAUACAUCGGAACAUGGCCUUUAGUGGUAGAUAGCCCGACGAAAGCCGGAUUAAUACCGCGUACGAUCGACGAAUGAGAGCGGGGGUCCGGCGGGCCUCGCGUUGAGGGGUUGGCGGAUGGCUGAUUAGCUGGUUGGUGGGGUAAAGGCCCACCAAGGCGACGAUCAGUAGCUGGUCUGAGAGGACGACCAGCCACACUGGGACUGAGACACGGCCCAGACUCCUACGGGAGGCAGCAGUGGGGAAUUUUGGACAAUGGGCGCAAGCCUGAUCCAGCAAUGCCGCGUGCAGGAAGAAGGCCUUCGGGUUGUAAACUGCUUUUGUACGGAAAGAAACGGCUCGGCCUAAUACCGGGGGGGAAUGACGGUACCGGAAGAAUAAGCACCGGCUAACUACGUG
rnacentral:rRNA from 1 species